rnacentral:rRNA from 1 species
AUUGAACGCUGGCGGCAGGCCUAACACAUGCAAGUCGAGCGAGUGGCGGACGGGUGAGUAAUGUCUGGGAAACUGCCUGAUGGAGGGGGAUAACUACUGGAAACGGUCGCUAAUCCCGCAUACCAUCAGAUGUGCCCAGAUGGGAUUAGCUAGUAGGUGGGGUAAGGGCUCACCUAGGCGACGAUCCCUAGCUGGUCUGAGAGGAUGACCAGCCACACGGGAACUGAGACACGGUCCAGACUCCUACGGGAGGCAGCAGUGGGGAAUAUUGCACAAUGGGCGCAAGCCUGAUGCAGCCAUGCCGCGUGUGUGAAGAAGGCCUUCGGGUUGUAAAGUACUUUCAGCGGGGAGGCGUUACUCGCAGAAGAAGCACCGGCUAACUCCGUGCCAGCAGCCGCGGUAAUAC